rnacentral:rRNA from 1 species
GACGAACGCUGGCGGCGUGCUUAACACAUGCAAGUCGAACGGUAAGGCCCUUCGGGGUACACGAGUGGCGAACGGGUGAGUAACACGUGGGUGAUCUGCCCUGCACUUCGGGAUAAGCCUGGGAAACUGGGUCUAAUACCGGAUAGGACCACUGCCUGCAUGGGUGGUGGUGGAAAGCUUUUGCGGUGUGGGAUGGGCCCGCGGCCUAUCAGCUUGUUGGUGGGGUGAUGGCCUACCAAGGCGACGACGGGUAGCCGGCCUGGGAGAGUGACCGGGCACAGUGGGACUGAGAUACGGCCCAGACUCCUACGGGAGGCAGCAGUGGGGAAUAUUGCACAAUGGGCGCAAGCCUGAUGCAGCGACGCCGCGUGAGGGAUGACGGCCUUCGGGUUGUAAACCUCUUUCAGCACCGACGAAGCGCAAGUGACGGUAGGUGCAGAAGAAGGACCGGCCAACUACGUGCCAGCCGCCGCCGUAA